UGAGGAAUAUUGGUCAAUGGGCGAGAGCCUGAACCAGCCAAGUCGCGUGAAGGAAGACUGCCUUAUGGGUUGUAAACUUCUUUUAUACAGGAAUAAAAAGGCUUACGUGUAGGCCAUUGCAAGUACUGUAUGAAUAAGCAUCGGCUAACUCCGUGCCAGCAGCCGCGGUAAUACGGAGGAUGCGAGCGUUAUCCGGAUUUAUUGGGUUUAAAGGGUGCGCAGGCGGGCUUUUAAGUCAGCGGUGAAAUCUGGACGCUUAACGUCCAAACUGCCGUUGAAACUGGGAGUCUUGAGUAUGGAUGAAGUAGGCGGAAUUCGUUGUGUAGCGGUGACAUGCAUAGAUAUAACGAGGAACUCCGAUUGCGUAGGCAGCUUACUAAGCCAUAACUGACGCUCAUGCACGAAAGCGUGGGGAUCAAACAGGAUUAGAUACCCUGGUAGUCCACGCCGUAAACGAUGAUUACUAGUUGUCAUGCGAUAUGAUAGUAUGUGACUAAGCGAAAGCGAUAAGUAAUCCACCUGGGGGAGUACGCCGGCAACGGUAAACUCAAAUGAAUUGACGGGGUCAUA
rnacentral:rRNA from 1 species